AACGAACGCUGGCGGCGUGCCUAACACAUGCAAGUCGAACGUGAAAGUCCUUCGGGGCGAGUAAAGUGGCGCACGGGUGAGUAACGCGUAGAUAAUCUGCCUGAUGAUCUGGGAUAACAUCUCGAAAGGGGUGCUAAUACCGGAUAAGCCCACGGAGUCUUCGGAUUCUGCGGGAAAAAGGGGGGACCUUCGGGCCUUCUGUCAUCAGAUGAGCCUGCGUACCAUUAGCUAGUUGGUAGGGUAAAAGCCUACCAAGGCGACGAUGGUUAGCUGGUCUGAGAGGAUGAUCAGCCACACUGGAACUGAGACACGGUCCAGACUCCUACGGGAGGCAGCAGUGGGGAAUUUUGUGCAAUGGGGGAAACCCUGACGCAGCAACGCCGCGUGAGUGAUGAAGGCCUUCGGGUCGUAAAGCUCUGUCAGAGGGAAAGAAAUGUAUUGUGGCUAAUAUCCACGAUACUUGACGGUACCCUCAAAGGAAGCACCGGCUAACUCCGUGCCAGCAGCCGCGGUAA
rnacentral:rRNA from 1 species